rnacentral:lncRNA from 1 species
UCGUGAUAACUUAGCUGCAAAUCCAUAUUUCCCCUCCCCCCAAAUAAACAGCGAGUGUGUAUUUCUUUCCUUUGCUGCUGUUUAACCUUAGAGCAGCGCAGGAAUGGAGGAAAAGUGUGCGAGUCUUCACGAUUUUGAUUGCAGCAGCAGGAAACGCUGAGACCUUGCCGAUGGGCUGGCGCUAUGGCUCACGUGGGCGCAGGAAGGGAAGCUGGAUGGAAUACUCGGGAAGCAAAUUUUCUGUGACAGUUCUGGCGCCCAUGAGCAGAGUUGCUCAGUAUCCUUCGGCUUCAGUAAUGUUUUACUUCUUCAGAGGAGAGGGUGUAAAACCUGGCAGGAGGGUCAGCGAGGUAAACCACAUGUCAGCCGAGCAGACUCAAGACAAACACAGGUUGUGGGAAAUUGGGGAGGAAAAAAAUCAGAGGAAAUCUCUGUAAAACCCCUGUUGUGAGCAAUUCCGAGGUUUCCCCACAUCUGCAAGUAGUUUCCAAAAUAGGUGAGAUGACUUCUCCCCCAACAAGCUUCCAAGGGACUGGUGAUUGGGAGCUUUCCUUUUCCAACUAAAUCUUUAAAACUGUCACUUUAGCAAGGACUUGUAAAAAAAAAAAAAGCCUUACAUAUUAUU